UAGUGGCGAACGGGUGAGUAACACGUGGGCAAUCUGCCCUGCACUCUGGGACAAGCCCUGGAAACGGGGUCUAAUACCGGAUAUGACCAUCUUGGGCAUCCUUGAUGGUGUAAAGCUCCGGCGGUGCAGGAUGAGCCCGCGGCCUAUCAGCUUGUUGGUGAGGUAACGGCUCACCAAGGCGACGACGGGUAGCCGGCCUGAGAGGGCGACCGGCCACACUGGGACUGAGACACGGCCCAGACUCCUACGGGAGGCAGCAGUGGGGAAUAUUGCACAAUGGGCGAAAGCCUGAUGCAGCGACGCCGCGUGAGGGAUGACGGCCUUCGGGUUGUAAACCUCUUUCAGCAGGGAAGAAGCGAAAGUGACGGUACCUGCAGAAGAAGCGCCGGCUAACUACGUGCCAGCAGCCGCGGUAAUACGUAGGGCGCGAGCGUUGUCCGGAAUUAUUGGGCGUAAAGAGCUCGUAGGCGGCUUGUCACGUCGGUUGUGAAAGCCCGGGGCUUAACCCCGGGUCUGCAGUCGAUACGGGCAGGCUAGAGUUCGGUAGGGGAGAUCGG
rnacentral:rRNA from 1 species